rnacentral:rRNA from 1 species
GACGAACGCUGGCGGCGUGCUUAACACAUGCAAGUCGAACGGAAAGGCCCUGCUUGCAGGGUACUCGAGUGGCGAACGGGUGAGUAACACGUGGGUGAUCUGCCCUGCACUUCGGGAUAAGCUUGGGAAACUGGGUCUAAUACCGGAUAGGAACCAUCUUUAGUGUGGUGGUUGGAAAGUUUUUUCGGUGUACGAUGAGCUCGCGGCCUAUCAGCUUGUUGGUGGGGUAAUGGCCUACCAAGGCGGCGACGGGUAGCCGGCCUGAGAGGGUGUACGGCCACAUUGGGACUGAGAUACGGCCCAGACUCCUACGGGAGGCAGCAGUGGGGAAUAUUGCACAAUGGGCGCAAGCCUGAUGCAGCGACGCCGCGUGGGGGAUGAAGGCCUUCGGGUUGUAAACUCCUUUCGCUAGGGACGAAGCUUUGUUGUGACGGUACCUAGAUAAGAAGCACCGGCUAACUACGUG